AACGAACGCUGGCGGCAGGCUUAACACAUGCAAGUCGAGCGCCCCGCAAGGGGAGCGGCAGACGGGUGAGUAACGCGUGGGAAUCUACCCAUCUCUACGGAAUAACGCAUGGAAACGUGUGCUAAUACCGUAUACGUCCUUCGGGAGAAAGAUUUAUCGGAGAUGGAUGAGCCCGCGUUGGAUUAGCUAGUUGGUGGGGUAAAGGCCUACCAAGGCGACGAUCCAUAGCUGGUCUGAGAGGAUGAUCAGCCACACUGGGACUGAGACACGGCCCAGACUCCUACGGGAGGCGGCAGUGGAGAAUAUUGGAUAAUGGGCGCAAGCCUGAUCCAGCCAUGCCGCGUGAGUGAUGAAGGCCCUAGGGUUGUAAAGCUCUUUCACCGGUGAAGAUAAUGACGGUAACCGGAGAAGAAGCCCCGGCUAACUUCGUGCCAGCCGCCGCCGUAAUAC
rnacentral:rRNA from 1 species